GGGGGGGGGGGGGGGGGGGGGGGGGGGGGGGGGGGGGGGGGGGGGGGGGGGGGGGUGGGGGCGGGGGGGUUGGCGGGGGGCGGGGGGGUGACCCGGGGGUGGGCUCGCUAUAGGACUGGGGUGGCUUCGGGAGGCGGGGGCUACGCCCGGAUGCUCUCUUGACCGGCAUGGCUCGAGGGUGCACGAAGGUUGUGCGGUCACUGAUAGGUGGCUCCGCGCCGCAUUAGCGCGUUGGUAAGGUGACGGCUUCACAAGGCAACGAUGCGUCGCCGACCUGCGAGGGUGAUCGGCCACACUGGAACUGAGACACGGUCCAGACUCAUACGGGAGGCAGCAGUAGGGAAUCUGUCGCAAUGGGCGAAAGCCUGACGGAGCAACGCCGCGUGAGUGAUGAAGGUCUUCGGAUCGUAAAACUCUGUUAUUAGGGAAGAACAAAUGUGUAAGUAACUAUGCACGUCUUGACGGUACCUAAUCAGAAAGCCACGGCUAACUACGUG
rnacentral:rRNA from 1 species